rnacentral:rRNA from 1 species
CAGUAGCCACGGGAAUACGAAGGGGGCUAGCGUUGUUCGGAUUUACCGGGCGUAAAGCGCACGUAGGCGGAUAUUUAAGUCAGGGGUGAAAUCCUGGAGCUCAACUCCAGAACUGCCUUUGAUACUGGGUAUCUAGAGUCCGGAAGAGGUGAGUGGAACUCCUAGUGUAGAGGUGGAAUUCGUAGAUAUUAGGAAGAACACCAGUGGCGAAGGCGGCUCACUGGUCCGGUACUGACGCUGAGGUGCGAAAGCGUGGGGAGCAAACAGGAUUAGAUACCCCUGUAGUCCCUGUCUCUUAUAC